AACGAACGCUGGCGGCGUGGAUAAGACAUGCAAGUCGAACGGGAACUUCAGCUGUAGCAAUACAGUUGAAGUUUUAGUGGCGAACGGGUGCGUAACACGUGGGCAAUCUGCCGAGAAGUGGGGGAUAGCUCGCCGAAAGGCGAAUUAAUACCGCAUAUGAUCAGCUAAGACAUCUUAGCGACAUCAAAGCCGGGGCAACCUGGCGCUUUUUGAGGAGCCCGCGGCCUAUCAGCUAGUUGGUGAGGUAACGGCUCACCAAGGCUAUGACGGGUAGCUGGUCUGAGAGGACGACCAGUCACACUGGAACUGAGACACGGUCCAGACUCCUACGGGAGGCAGCAGUGGGGAAUUUUGGACAAUGGGGCAACCCUGAUCCAGCCAUGCCGCGUGCGGGAAGAAGGCCU
rnacentral:rRNA from 1 species